GUGCCGGAGUCCUGGGGACAUCGUACGGCUGCAAACCGUCGCACGAGAGUUCGAUUCUCUCCCGGCACU
rnacentral:tRNA from 1 species